CUUGGUGCAUGGCAGGAGCAUGCUGACAUCACUGCUACUACUUUUUCGCUCGGUCCUGCUGUAGGCAGCAAAAAGAACAAAGCCUGCCACCGAAAUAAGAGGCAUCAAAGAUGAACUGGACCAUGUACUGGCAGGGAAAAAAAAGUGUGUCCUGUUCUAAUGGAUACAGUGGUAUCUGAAAAAUGGGAUGAUCAGCAGCACAAAGCUCAGUAACUGGGCUCUGGAGUAUACAGUAUAUGCUUGAAUUUAAUGCUCUCCCGGCUACCAUGGAAAAUAAAGAGAGUACCUUUGUAUUUACAAUAUAAUUCAAGUCCUGUUCCAGUUCCUGCCAUUGGGGCGGUUAACUUUUCCUGGAAGCAUCAGCUUUUUUCUUGGAAGCAUCAGUAUGUUGCUGCACUGUCCAUAAAAGUUAGCAGAGAGUUCUAUAGUGUUACCACAGUUCGCC